rnacentral:lncRNA from 12 species
GGCCUGGCAUCCCUGCCCCGCGUCCAAGAGCCAACCAGCCACGGAGCCCCCUCCCCCCUGGAACCGCUCUGUGUGCUCCCCCCGCAUCCUGCGCCCCGCAUCCCUGCCCCGCGCCGCGGACCCCCCACCCCCGUCGCAGCCCCCUGGAAAGCCGUGCCCGCACCCCCGAGGCACCCCUCCGCUCUGUGCGCUCCCCCCAUCCCUGCCCCGCGUCCUCAAGCCACCCCUCCGCGGAGCUCCCCACUCCCCGGGGUCGCAGCCACCUGGAAAGCUGUGUGGGCUCCCCCCGCAUCCCCGCGCCCCGCGCCCCCAAGCCACCCCGGUCCCCGCCCCGCCCCGCAGGCCCUGCACCCCGAGCGGUCCGGCCGCGCUGAGCCACCGGGGUACCGCGUCCGAGGGCCUGGGCCAGGGCGGGCGCAGCCUGCAUCCUUCACCCCGCACUGCGAGGCCGUCGGCCCGCUAGGGUCAGGAUCCCAACCACAGGCAUGACAGCACUGACGUCGGGAACAGGGAAGCGCCUUGCUCAGGGCCAGGCAACCAGCGCGCGGGGCGCCCGGGCCAGGAGAUCCACGGCAGAACACUCCACGCGCGGAAAGCGUCUCGGACCCGGUGUCUCCAGGGGCAGGGCGCAUUUCCCGAGUCGGAGCUUCGGGAGCCCCGCGGGGCGGAGUCGGGGUGCGGCGCCCUGGCCCUGCCACCUGGGGCCAAGGGAGAGCUGGGGACCCCCUGGCCGCCUCCCCGCCUCCCGCAAGCCUGUUGCACAGGCCCAGGGAAUCUCCACCCAAAGCAAGCAGGCGGCGGGGGCUGCUCUGCGGCGGCCCAGGUCCCCGGCGCCUUUGCAGCUCAAGCAGCAGCGCGCAGGCAAGUGUCUCCUCCGCACGUUCCUGCUUUUCCAUAUGGGAUCGCGCAGGUUUCCAGUGCAAAUCAGCUGUCGGUGGCCCGACCCCCCGACUUUCACCAGCACAAAUUUAGGAAGCGGCUUGGCUUCCUUCAGUCAAAAGCAGUGAGAAAUAACAAAAGCGAAAGGUUGUGGUCCUGCGGCGCUGGAGCAGGCGAGCCAGAGGUCUAGGAGCCUGUCUGCGGCCAGGAGAGCGCCUUCUCCGGGCACCUUGCUGCACCCCCCUGAGAACUGGCUUCCCAAGAGCGCCGCGUGGGAACUCACCCAUGAAGACCCCCCCUCUGUCCCUUGCUUCAAAAAAUCACAAUAAUUGAACUGAGUUCUGAAUUUCUUCAGCGCGGUGUUAGCGUGUUUGCAACGGAGAGCGUGCACUGCAAUAGACGAGCGCCCAGUGUGCACCUUGUUUUCUUAAGUGUUGACGGGUGGGGGAUAGGAACAGCACAGUGUGCCCCUCAGGUGGCCGACCCAGUGCCCAGUACCGGGUAAGCGAUAAUUUCUGAAAGAACCUGGGGUGUGGGCCGCGGGGCCGCGGGGCCUCGGGCCUGUUGAGCUGCGGGGCUGCAGGGCCGCGGGGCUGCUGAGAUGCGGGGCUGCUGAGCUGCAGGGCCUCGGAGCUGCGGGGCUGCUGAGAUGCUGAGCUAUGGAGCUGCUUAGCUGUGGGACUGCAGGGCUGCGGGGUUGCUUAGCUGCCAGGCAGCGUAGCUGCGGGACCUCAGGGCUGUGGGGCUGCUGGGCUGCUGAGAUGCGGGACUGCGGGGUGCGGGGCUGCGGGGCUGCGAGGUUAGCGGGGCUGCGGAGCUGCAGGGCUGCCGGGUUGCGGGGCUGCAGGGCUGCUGAGCUGUGGGGCUGUUGAGCUGCAGGGCUGCGGGGCUGCUGAGCUGCUGAGCUGCAGGGCUGCAGGGCUGCUGAGAUGCUGAGCUAUGGGGCUGCUGAGCUGCGGGGCUGCGGGGCUGCUGAGCUGCGGGGCUGUGGAGCUGCUGAGCUGCGGGACCUCAGGGCUGUGGGGCUGCUGGGAUGCUGAGAUGUGGGACUGCGGGGUUAGCGGAGCUGCAGGGCUGUGAGGUGCAGGGCUGCGGGGCUGCGGGGUUAGCGGUGCUGUGGAGCUGCAG